rnacentral:miRNA from 1 species
GAAGUCGUACUAGGAUUGCAAGC